rnacentral:pre_miRNA from 1 species
CUUGUACUCCCUCCGUCUAAAAAUACUUGUCAUUGAAAUGGAUGUAUCUAUAUGUAUUUUAGUUCUAGACACAUCCAUUUUGAUGACAAGUAAUUCCGGACAGAGGGAGUACUUG